UUUUUUUUUUUUUUUUUUUUUUACAUUGCGGCCUAUUGCGCCGGUAGGCUUCUUCCCGGUGGAUCCUGAUGGUCGGUCCAAGGCUUCUUUCCGGUGGGUCCUGAUGGUCGGCCCAGCCCGUUCUGGCGCAGGCGAGUGUUUAUAGUGGCGCCAUCUUGCAUUGGCUCAUGCUGCCCUCCCAGAGCUCAUCUUUGAUCCUAGAAUCUAGAGUCCGGGUUGACAGGUGGUCUUCUGGACAGCAUGUGGGUAGUUUUAAGCCACUCGGCGGCGG